UUUAGUCAUGUCAGGUUCAGAUAGAAUCCAUUGGUUUCAAGUGGAGACUCUUCGGGGUUCAGUUCGACAGGUUGUUUGAAAACUGAGUUGGUCAGCGCACACAAUAUUUUUGGUAUCUUUAGCAAAAGAAGGGUUGCUAUAUAUAUUGAAGCCUUGACAAACAAGGAUGAUAGGGCUUGUCUGAAAUUCAAGUGGAUGUUUUGAAAGAAACAUCACAACAAGUUCUUAUGCUAUUUUAGGAAAGGUGCGAGCUGGAUCAGUUGCUGAUGAGAAGGAUGAUUAUGGUUAUCUGGCUAUCCUAGCAUUCUCUGAAGAUGACUCAACUCGCACAUCUCAGGUACGAAUUCUUUCUAACUAUGCAAUACAUAUUUCUUUAUAUUCAAAGCAUGUUAUAAAUCUCUGAGUAGAAUUGUUUAACACACAAGCA
rnacentral:lncRNA from 1 species